rnacentral:rRNA from 1 species
UACGUAGGGUGCAAGCGUUAAUCGGAAUUACUGGGCGUAAAGCGUGCGCAGGCGGUUUUGUAAGUUUGUCGUGAAAUCCCCGGGCUCAACCUGGGAAUGGCGAUGAAGACUGCAAGGCUAGAAUCUGGCAGAGGGGGGUAGAAUUCCACGUGUAGCAGUGAAAUGCGUAGAGAUGUGGAGGAAUACCGAUGGCGAAGGCAGCCUCCUGGGCCAACACUGACGCUCAUGCACGAAAGCGUGGGGAGCAAACAGG